GGUUAAGCGACUAAGCGUACACGGUGGAUGCCCUGGCAGUCAGAGGCGAUGAAGGACGUGCUAAUCUGCGAAAAGCGUCGGUAAGGUGAUAUGAACCGUUACAGCCGGCGAUGUCCGAAUGGGGAAACCCAGUGCAAUUCGUUGCACUAUCGUUAACUGAAUACAUAGGUUAACGAAGCGAACCGGGGGAACUGAAACAUCUAAGUACCCCGAGGAAAAGAAAUCAACCGAGAUUCCCCCAGUAGCGGCGAGCGAACGGGGAGCAGCCCGGAGUCUGAAUCAGCUUGUGUGUUAGUGGAAGCGUCUGGAAAGUCGCAGGGUACAGGGUGAUACUCCCGUACACUAAAACGCACAGGUUGUGAACUCGAAGAGUAGGGCGGGACACGUGGUAUCCUGUCUGAAUAUGGGGGGACCAUCCUCCAAGGCUAAAUACUCCUGACUGACCGAUAGUGAACCAGUACCGUGAGGGAAAGGCGAAAAGAACCCCGGCGAGGGGAGUGAAAAAGAACCUGAAACCGUGUACGUACAAGCAGUAGGAGCCCCACCACCAAAGCGUUUCGCUUUGCGUGGUGCGCAAAAUGCGUAACGACAGCGUGAUGGACGGUUAACGAAGCGUAAGCGACGUUCAACAUCAAAAAUCAGGCAGUGGAGCGUUUUGGGGU
rnacentral:rRNA from 1 species